AUGGGGAAUGCUCGGAAGAACUUUUUGAUUUGGUGCCAUCGUCUCCAAGGGCUAAAGGAGCAAAGUUCAUCCCCACUUCUUAGAUACAUGGCACACCAAGAAUAAGCGGGCAUCUCGCUCGUUUCUUCCCAGAAGGUGCAGAAUGUGGAAUGACUUGCCUCCUGAGGUAUUUCCUUUGCGCUACGACAUGGGACUCUUCAAGAAGCGGGUAUUUAGGGUUCUCAAGGGUCGGCAACGCUUAAGUGGCUCCUGUGAUGUUGCUUAUGUCCAUGGGCGACGAUGACCGCUUCCCAUCAGGCGGCUCGUCUGCUCGUUUGCUGACUAUCACAUCAAAAAAAAAAAUUGAA